rnacentral:rRNA from 1 species
ACGCUCGACACCUACGGGGGCAGCAGUGGGGAAUAUUGCACAAUGGGGGGAAACCCUGAUGCAGCGACGCCGCGUGAGCGAAGAAGUAUUUCGGUAUGUAAAGCUCUAUCAGCAGGGAAGAAACUGACGGUACCUGACUAAGAAGCACCGGCUAAAUACGNGCCAGCAGCCGCGGUAAUCUGAGCGGGCUGGCAAGGC